rnacentral:lncRNA from 10 species
UCCAGUCUGGGCGACAGAGCGAGACUCCAUCUCAAAAAAAAAAUUAAUAUCUUUUUGUUUCAAAUUGAAGAACCCCUGUUAGCCUUUCUUGUAACGACAGGUCUACUGAUGAUGAACUCCCUUAGUUUUUGUUUGUGUUGGGAAGUUUUGAUCUCCCCUUCAUUACUGAGGGACAGCUUUGCCAGGAUAGUAUUCUUGGUUGGCAGGGCUUUCUUUUGCUUUUGGCAUUUUGAAUAUAUCCCACUCUCUUCAGGCCUACAAAGUUUCUGCUGAGAAAUCUGCUGAUAGUCUUAUGCAGGGAUAAGGGGGGAUUUUUUGAAAAGAGUUGCUUUUCUCUUGCUGCUGUCAAAAUUAUCUCUAGCUUUGACUUUUGGCAGUUUGAUUAUAAUGUGUCUUGGUGAAGACUUCUUUAUGCUCAAUUUAUUUGGGGUUCUUUGGGCUUCAUGGAUCUGGAUGAUCAUUUUCUUCUCUAGUUUUGGGAAGUUUCCUGUCAUUAUUUUUUUUUAAUAAGGUUUUUGCCCCUUUCCCUUUCUCUGCUUCAUCUGGGACUCCCAGAAUAUGUAUACUGUUUUGCUUGAUGAUAUUCCCAAUUCCCAUAGGCUUUCUUCACUCUUUUUCAUUCUUUUUUUCUUUUUGUUACUCUGCCUGGAUAAUUUCCAAUGAUCUAUCUUUGAGUUUGUAUUUUUAAAAGUCAGGGCCUUACUCUCUCACCCUUGCUGGGGUGCAGUGGCACAGUCGGGGAUCACUGCACCCUUGACCUCCCAGGCUCAAAUGAUUCUCCCACCUCAGCCUCCCACAUAGCUGGGACUAAAGGCUGUGCCACCAUGCCCAGCUAAUUUUUGUACUUUUUGUAGAAACAGGGUUUUUGCCAUGUUGCCCAGGCUGGUCUCAAAUUUCUGAACUCAAGUGAUCCUCCCACCUUGGCCCCCCAAAAGUGUUGAGAUUAUAGGCAUGAGCCACCACCCCUGGCCGAGUUCAUUAAUUAUUUUUUCCACUUCAUCACAUCUUCUAUUGAAGCUCUCUAUUGAAUACAAUGUCUGACAUUGUAUUCUUCAGCUCCAGAAUUUGUUUGGUCCUCUUUUAUAGUUUCUUCCUCUUUAUAACUUUGCAUUUUGUUCAUGUAUCGUUUUCCUGGAUUUCGCUUAGUCAUCUAUCUGUGUCCUCUUGAAGGUCACUGAGCUUCUUUAAGAUGAUUACUUUAGGCCAGGCAUGGUGGCUUGUGCUUGCAAUCCCAGCACUUUGGGAGGCCAAGGCAGGAGGAUUGCUUGACGCCAGGAGUUUGAAACCAGCCUAGGCAACAUAGUGAGACUUGUCUCGACAAAGAAAAAAAAAAAAAAAUUAAAGAUGAUUAUUUUUGAAUCCUUUGUCAGAGAGUUUGUAAGUCCCUUUUUUCUUUCUUUUCUUUUCUUUUUUUUUUUUUUUUUUUUUUUUUUUUUUUUUUUUUUUUUUUUGAGAUGGAGUCUUGCUCUGUCACCUAGACUGGAGUGCAGUGGCGCAAUCUCGGCUCACUGCAACCUCUACUUCCCAGGUUCAAGUGAUUCUCCUACCUCAGCCUCCUGAGUAGCUGGUAUUACAGGCGUGCACCAUCACGCCCGGCUAAUUUUUGUGUUUUCAGUAGAGAUGGGGUUUCACCAUGUUGGUCAGGCUGGUCUCGAACUCCUGACCUUGUGAUCUGCCUGCCUUGGCCUCCCAAAGUGUUGGGAUUACAGGUGUAAGCCACUGAGCCUGGCCAUUAAGUCCCCAUUUCUUUGGGGUCAACUAUUAGAGCUUUAUUUUGUUGCUUUAAAGGUGUCAUAUUUCCUUGAUUCUUUGUAUAUAUAUAUUUUUGAAGACUUGCGCUGCUAUCUUCACAUUUGAAGAAGCGGUCACCUCCUUUAGUCUUACUUGUUUCUUAUUAAAAUUUUUUUAAUGUUUUUUUUUAAGAGAUGGGAUCUCACUAUGUUGCCCAGGGUGGUCUCAAACUCCUGGCCUCAAGUGAUCCUCCCACCUCAGCCUCCCAAAGUGCUGAGAUUACAGGUGUAAGCUACCAUGCCUGGCUGUCCCCCAGUCUUUGUUGACUGGCUUUGGGAGAGAAAGACCUUCAUCAGUCAUCCUAGCUAAGGAUUUGAGGGAUCGCUCAGAUCUUUUCUGUAGAUACACCCACUCUACUCCUGUUGCUCCCUCUUAGGGAGAGAAGUCUUAGGUUGUAAGCUCCUCUCAAUCCUCCAAAGCUGGGUCUACACUGAGCACCUCCCAUUUUCCCUAAUGCAGUGCUCUGAAGCAUUCAAGGUUGGGCACCUUCUCCCAGUCCAGCAGAGUCAAGCCGGCUGCUCAGAUUUGCAUCUGCCGUUGAGAUCUGUGUACUGUUUGGGAGGAGGGUGCAUGAGACACCAUAUGCUCAGGGGUACGUGGAGUGCUGGGGGCAUGGAUCAGUUGGUUGGGGGGCCCACAGGCAAGUUGUUCUGUGGGUUCAUGGGCGGGCCUCCUGGUGGAGUGUUAGCUGGUUAGUGGGAUCCAUGGCUGGCUGUUGGUUGCUAGGCAUGUCCUUCCCUUCUCCUAGCAGUCCCCAGGUGACUCAGCCAUGCUGAUUCCUCAGUGUUCUGGGGAGAGACACAGGUGGGCUAUUGGGCAGCAUCCUAUAAGGUUGGGGAAGCUGGUGCUCACUCAGCACUCAGUUUCCCCUGUGGGAGAAACCACAGGCCCAGGGGGGCCUCAUUGGAGGAGCACUAGCACAGGUAAACUGAACCUUCUUAGCCUCUUCGGUGUGCUCUCUUUGCCCUGUGGGGUGCUAGAACCUCUCAGUGUUUCUGUGGGGGCAUGAGGGCUGGAACCUCCUAUUCUGUCACCUUCCUGGCCUCUUCCUACAAUUAUUUUUAUGCUCAAAUUGCCCCCGAUUUGGACAGGGGGAGAGCCUUCAGGCUGCUCCUCCAGCCCUCUCACAUGUCCCCAACGUUGUUCAGCAUUUCCUUAUUUUCCAGCACUAGACAUUCUAAGGCUCACCCUGUACUCUCUCUGCUCUUCCCUGGAAAUAGUCAUUUCUCCAAAGAGUUCUGUUCCCUUGGAAUAGAGAAUGGUAUUUACAAACCAAGAAAUGGAUUUCAGGUGUGCCAGUUGUUUCUGGGGUGGCAUUGCUUCUAGGCCCCUUCGGUGGACAGAGCUGGGAAAGAAACUGUGUGUAUCAUAUAUAUCUGCACACGUAAGCUGUGUGUGUAUCAUAUAUAAUACAUCUGCACAUAUAAACUGUGUAUGUAUCAUAUAUAAUACAUCUGCACUUAUAAACUGUGUAUGUAUCAUAUAUUAAUACAUCUGCACAUAUAAACUAUCAUCUGUACAUAUAAACUGUAUAUCAUAUAUAUCUGCACAUAUAAACAGUAUCAUAUAAUACAUCUGCACAUGUAAACUGUAUCAUAUCUGCACAUAUAAACUGUAUAUCAUAUAUAUCUGCACAUAUAAACUAUCAUAUAUAAUACAUCUGCACAUACAAACUAUCAUAUCUGCACAUAUAAACUAUAUCAUAUCUGCACAUAUAAACUAUCAUAUCUGUACAUAUAAACUGUGUAUAUCAUAUAUAUGCACAUAUAAACUAUCAUAUAUAAUACAUCUGCACAUACAAACUGUAUGUAUCAUAUAUAAUACAUCUGCACUUAUAAACUGUAUCAUACAUAAUACAUCUGCACAUAUAAACUGUAUCAUAUCUACACAUAAACUGUAUAUAUCAUAUAAUAUAUGCGCAUAUAAACUAUCAUAUAUCUGCACAUAUAAACUAUGUAUCAUAUAUAUCUGCACAUAUAAACUGUGUGUAUCAUAUAUAGUACAUCUGUACAUAUAAACUGUAUCAUAUACAUCUGCACAUAUAAACUAUCAUAUAUAAUACAUCUGCACUUAUAAACUGUGUACCAUAUAUAUCUGCACAUAUAAACUGUAUCAUAUAUAUCUGCACAUAUAAACUAUCAUAUAUAAUACAUCUGCACAUAUAAACUGUAUCAUAUAUAAUCUGCACUUAUAAACUGUAUCAUAUAUAUCUGCACAUAUAAACUGUAUCAUAUAUAUCUGCACAUAUAAACUGUCAUAUAUAAUACAUCUGCACAUAUAAACUGUGUGUAUCAUAUAUACAUCUGCACAUAUAAACUGUGUGUAUCAUAUAUAAUACAUCUGCACUUAUAAACUGUAUCAUAUAUAUCUGCACAUAUAAACUGUAUCAUAUAUAAUAUAUCUGCACAUAUAAACUAUCAUAUAUAAUACAUCUGCACAUAUAAACUGUAUCAUAUAUAACUGCACAUAUAAACUGUCAUAUAUAUCUGCACAUAUAAACUGUCAUAUAUAUGCACAUAUAAACUAUCAUAUAUAAUACAUCUGCACAUAUAAACUGUGUAUCAUAUAUAAUACAUCUGCACAUAUAAACUAUCAUAUAUAAUACAUCUGCACAUAUAAACUGUAUCAUAUAUAAUACAUCUGCACAUAUAAACUGUGUAUCAUAUAUAAUACAUCUGCACUUAUAAACUGUGUCAUAUAUCUGCACAUAUAAACUAUCAUAUAAUACAUCUGCAUAUAUAAACUAUCAUAUAUACAUCUGCACAUAUAAACUAUAUCAUAUAUCUGCACAUAUAAACUGUGUGUAUCAUAUAUAAUACAUCUGCACAUAUAAACUGUGUGUAUCAUAUAUAUCCGCACAUAUAAACUGUGUGUGUAUCAUAUAUAUCUGCACAUAUAAACUGUGUGUGUAUCAUAUAUAAUACAUCUGCACACAUGCUUCUCUGUAUUGAAAACCAAAUUGUCACGGACCACUCCCAUUCUCACGCAGCAUUUAGGGCUGUGGCUAGCCUUUCCCAGCUGUAAGAAACCUGUCUUUCAGCAUGAUAAACACAUUUACUUAUUUGCUCAGUCCUCUAAUAUGCAGAAAGUAGUUUUAGAAUUGCCAAAACCAUACAACUUGGAAAAACAAGCAUGAUUACUUCAAGAUGUGUUUGUAGCUCCUUCUGUCCUGGCAUUGGACGUGGAGAGAAAGCACAGACUGUUCCAAGUUUCAUUUUUCCCCUUCUCUGAAACGCAGAGAGCGUUGUUUGUUUCUGUUUGUAUUUCAUUUGGGUCCUCCCUCUAGCCUUAUUCAUAAAUUUGUAAAUGAUCUUUAACAAUCUGUUAUAUUUAUGAUGUUUUACUGCGUGCUGCCUGUGAAAAUGUUUCCUUCUUCUGACACGUUCCAGAACAACUAGGCUUUUAAAUUCCAAAUAUUCCUGUUUCACAAUAAACCAGAUGAGGGCCUCUGUUGUGCCACAGCUUUUGGAAUGUGGUUUAUUACCAAUAGAAGUGGCUGCGUGGCUUGUUAUGGUUUCAAUUACACGUGAGUAACAACCGGGGCCCUUCUGUGUCAGGUGCUGCUGAUCAAGGCUGGCUAAUGGGGACCUCGCUGUCCAGAACGGGCGUUUCCCAUGGCCCGGCCCAGCUGUUUACCACUUCUGUCUACCAUUUCAGAGGGGCUUUGCGGAGAUUAAAUGAGGUGAAGCGCUCUGAGAACCUCAGUCCUAAAGAAUAGCAGUUAUACUGGUUUUUGUAUUAUAUUUAUAUAUUCUUCUUGUUAAUAUACUGGUUUUAAUGUUCAUCGUUCUCUUGGGAUCCCAUGACAGUGAGCCUGGUGUACCUGAGGUCUGGGAUACUCACACCUCUCCCCAGUCCCAUGCUCCCCACUGUGGCAGUGCCUGUCAGGGACCCUGCUGACCCCAGGAAGCCUCGGUGUCCCCAGCGCUGGCUCUGCUCACACAGGCAGCAGGCUUAGUGUUCUCUGGCCUGGCUGCACUGACUGGACCAGGGACAGGGGAAGGGCCCCAAAGCACCCUGUUCCAGGCAGCCGGCCAGUCGUGGCCGAGGAGCUCCAUUCAACAGUGGCACCCAGAGGGGCCAGGGUCUCAUAAAGCUGGUCAGACGCCCCCUCUGGGUAGGGGUGUAGGAAGCGGCUGUGCAGCCGGGUCCCAGGUAGGGAGGCAUAGAGUGAAGGCUGUGAGCAGGAGCCCUGGGGCGGAGGGCCAGGAGAAGGCUGGGCACAGGUCCAUCGGUGGCAGCUGGGUGGGCAGAGCAGAGAGGCUGCAUCUGCACGACGGCAGGGCCCUGGUGUGGGAACAGCAGACGGGGCCCCUGGGUGCGGCGCCUCCUUCCCACAUCCCUGCUGCUCCUGCAUCUGCUGCUGGAGAAGACCACGACGUGCUCAGACCCCGGCACUGGAGAACUCCAGAUGUGGUGAGGGCUGCACGUUAGCUGCAUACGCACAUCUGGAAGGUGAGGCAGACGUGCCCACCGCCUCCAUGCCUGGCCCACAGUUGUGGGCAUGCAGAGCUCCUCUGUGGCAGGCCCAGGCUGCACCAGCUGCCUGGAGAGGCACUGGGGGCGGGGCCUCACUUGAGGGGCAGAUUCUCCCACCCAGCCAGUCCAGGCCCAGCGGCUGGAGCAUCCCGUCCAGCAAAUUGUCCUGCAAGUUGCCCUGGAGACCCAGCGUCUCUCAUCACGUCUCACUCCCCUGCCAGAUGCCUCUGCGGCAAUAACGAGAGUGGCUCUGCCUUCUGCACUGAAUGCCGACAGGUGACCAGAACAUGACACUGGGGUUAUGCAGUGCCCUGGUUGAUAUUCUAGUUCAUCAGGGAGCUUCUGGAAUGAUUUUUUUUUUCUUUUUUUUUUUUUUUUGAGACAGAGUCUCUCUCUGUCGCCCAGGCUGGAGUGCAAUGGAGCAAUCUUGGCUCACCACAACCUCUGCCUCCGGGGUUCAAGUGAUUCUCCUGUCUGAGCCUCCUGAGUAGCUGGGAUUACAGGUGUCCACCACUAUCACUCAGUUAAUUUUUAUAUUUUUAGUAGAGAUGGGGUUUCACCAUGUUGCCUGGGCUGGUCUCAAACUCCUGACCUCAGGUGAUCUGCCUCCUCAGCCUCCCAAAGUGCUGGGAUUACAGGCAUGAGCCACCUCACCCAGCCAACUUUCUUUUGCUUCACUUUUCCUCUGGUUGCCCCAUCUUUAUUGUCAAGUCCUGUUAAGAGGAACAACAUUAAAAUGAGAGCUUUCAUGGCAAAAAGGUUGCUGUGGGUUGAGCUUGCAAUGUUAGCUGCGUGUUAGGAUUCAGCUGACAUCUGUCUCUGGAGUCUCGCCCUUUCUGUAAUUCGCUUUUGACUGUAAUAAAUGUUGUACAGGCCAGGUGCAGUGACUCACACCUGUAAUCCCAGCACUUUGCAAGGCCAAGGCAGGUGGACCACGAGGUCAGGAGAUCGAGAUCAUCCUGGCUAACACGGUGAAACCCCGUCUCCACUGAAAAUACAGAAAAUUAGCUGGGUGUGGUGGCACCUGCCUGUGGUCCCAGCUAUU